UACAGAGGGUGCGAGCGUUAAUCGGAAUUACUGGGCGUAAAGCGUGCGCAGACGGUCACGUAAGUCGGGUGUGAAGCCCCGGGCUCAACCUGGGAAUUGCAUUCGAGACUGCGUGGCUAGGGUGCGGAAGAGGGAAGCGGAAUUUCCGGUGUAGCGGUGAAAUGCGUAGAUAUCGGAAGGAACACCAGUGGCGAAAGCGGCUUCCUGGUCCAGCACCGACGUUCAGGCACGAAAGCGUGGGGAGCAAACAGG
rnacentral:rRNA from 1 species